ACGGCAGCACAGCCUUCGGUCUGGUGGCGAGUGGCGAACGGGUGAGUGUGUAUCGGAACNUGCCCCGUAUCGGGGGAUAACUACGCGAAAGCGUAGCUAAUACCGCAUACGCCCUACGGGGGAAAGCAGGGGAUCGUAAGACCUUGCACUAUUGGAGCGGCCGAUAUCGGAUUAGCUAGUUGGUGGGGUAACGGCUCACCAAGGCGACGAUCCGUAGCUGGUUUGAGAGGACGACCAGCCACACUGGGACUGAGACACGGCCCAGACUCCUACGGGAGGCAGCAGUGGGGAAUUUUGGACAAUGGGGGAAACCCUGAUCCAGCCAUCCCGCGUGUGCGAUGAAGGCCUUCGGGUUGUAAAGCACUUUUGGCAGGAAAGAAACGUCGUGGGUUAAUACCCCGCGAAACUGACGGUACCUGCAGAAUAAGCACCGGCUAACUACGUGCCAGCAGCCGCGGUAAUACGUAGGGUGCAAGCGUUAAUCGGAAUUACUGGGCGUAAAGCGUGCGCAGGCGGUUCGGAAAGAAAGAUGUGAAAUCCCAGAGCUUAACUUUGGAACUGCAUUUUUAACUACCGAGCUAGAGUGUGUCAGAGGGAGGUGGAAUUCCGCGUGUANCAUUGAAAUGCGUAUAUAUGCGGAGGAACACCGAUGGCCAAGGCUCCCCCCUGGNAUAACACUGACGCUCNUGCACGAAAACGUGGGGGAGCAAACAGGAUUAAAUACCCUGGUAGUCC
rnacentral:rRNA from 1 species